CGGUUGAUCCUGCCGGACCUGACUGCUAUUGGAGUAGGACUAAGUCACGCUAGUCAAAGGUGCGGAAUGGAGCACCUGGCGUACGGCUCAGUAACACGUAGUCAACCUACCCUAAGGACGAGGACAACCACGGGAAACUGUGGAUAAUCUUCGAUAGGAAAUUUGGCCUGGAACGGUAUCUUUCCUAAAUCCGCUUCGCCGUGAAGUACGGGCCUUAGGAUGGGGCUGCGGCCGAUUAUGCUAGAUGGCGGUGUAAAGGACCACCAUGGCGACGAUCGGUAUGGGCAAUGGAAGUUGGAGCCCAGAGUCGCUCACUGAGACAAGGGAGCGAGCCUUACGAGGCUUAGCGGUCGCGAAAACUCGCCAAUGCACGAAAGUGUGAGUGGGCUACUCCAAGUGUCUUUCUUACGGAAGACUGUCGCCCAGUAUUACAAGCUGGGAAAGGAAGGAGAGGGCAAGGCUGGUGCCAGCCGCCGCGGUAAAACCAGCUCUUCGAGUGGUCAGGACGAAUAUUGGGUCUAAAGCGCUCGUAGCCGGACAUGUGGGUUCUUGGUUAAAUCCGACAGCAUAACUGUCGAUCUGCUGGGAAUACCGCAAGUCUUGGGAGCGGGAGAGGAUAGAGGUAGUCGUAGGGCAGGGGUGAAAUCCAGUGAUCCUACGGCGACCACCGAUGGCGAAGGCAUCUAUCUGGAACGUCUCCGACGGUGUGGGGCGAAAGCUAGGGGAGCGACCCGGAUUAGAUACCCGGUUAGUCCUAGCCGUAAACGAUGCCGACUAGGUGUUACUGCGGCCAAGAGCCGCUGUAGUGCCACAGCGAAGGCGUUAAGUCGGCCACCUGGGGAGUACGGUCGCAAGACUGAAACUUAAAGGAAUUGACGGGGGCGCACCACCAGGAGUGAAGCCUGCGGUUUAAU
rnacentral:rRNA from 1 species